CCUGACUUCCCACAAACAAUUCUAAUAAAGAGCAAUUAACCUGAAAGUGUUUCGCAAUUUUAAUGUAUGAGAUAUGGUUUCUCUCAAAAGCUACACUGCUCUUGUGUCCUUACAAGGUAUUUUCUUAGCAAGAAUAAUCUGUUUACAUGGGUGUUAAUGACUAAAUCCCUUUCUUGUAAAGCUAUGCCCAUCUGUCACACAAGAAGAAUAGUACCCUUUAGAGAGCGCUAAAGAAAAUGUAGGGAAAAUGAGCAGGUAUUCAAAAAGGUAAAAUGCUGCCACAGAGCCUAACUGAUAAGAGCAAUUAAUGAAACAUUAAGUGUAGAAUAGGGAAUAUAUGGCAUGGGAUAAAUUAUAGUCAGAAUUCAUGUUUCUUUUGUCUCCAGAAGUUCACAUACAAAACCCCAUGCCUUUACAAAACAAUAAAUUCAGCACUGUCGAUGAUGCUUGUUUCCUUGUGAAUGUUGCAGAGGUCUCUUCAAGUGACUCAAUUGCACGGAAAAAGUUGUAUCACAAAGAACCAAGCUCCAAUCUAGACUGAUGAUCUAGACCUGCCAAGCAGCUUGCAUCCUGGAAAUUCUCUUCCCUGCUUUCCUGUGUUGAAUCUACUCUAUACAGAAUCUGGUGUUAUCCUCUUUCUUGAUUUUUUAAAAUUUCCUUUAACUCUUUUUUUUAUAUGAUAGUGGUUUUAUAGAAAUAAAGUUGAUAAUACAUAAUGUUUCAUAUAAUUACAGAUAAUUAGUUUAUAUUCAUGUUGAGGAUAAAGUGACAUUUGUUCCCUCUUACACAAAAACAGUUUUUUUUUAACUUUUACGUUCAGGGAUACAUGUGCAGAUUUCUUACAUAGGUAAACUUGUGUCAAGGGGAUUGGUGUAAGGCUUAUUUAUUUAGUCCCCAGGUAUUAAACCAAGUGCCCACUAGUUAUUUUUCCUAAUCCUCUCAAGAAAAGGUGCAUAGUCUUAUGGUCUGAAUGUGCCUCCCCUAAAACUCAUAUGUUAAAAUCCUAACCGACAAGAUGAUGGUAUGAAAAGUUGGGGCCUUUAGCAGGUGACUAGGUAAUGAUAGCGGAG
rnacentral:lncRNA from 1 species